CGAGUGGAUCCGCAAGGUGAAGCGAAGCAGGCUGCGGGAGGGUCGCGAAAAGCUUCUGUAGGAGUCUGCAUUCGACCGUACCGCAAACCGACACAGGUGGGCGCGUAGAGGAUACGAAGGCGUUCGAGAUAACUCUCGCUAAGGAACUAGGCAAAAUGGCCCCGUAACUUCGGGAGAAGGGGCGCUCCUCGCAAGGGGAGCCGCAGCAAAGCGGACCGAGCGACUGUUUACCAAAAACACAGGUCUCUGCUAAGCCGAAAGGCGAUGUAUAGGGGCUGACGCCUGCCCAAUGCCAGAAGGUUAACAGGAGGGGUGAACCGAAAGGGGCAGCCUCGAAUCGAAGCCCUGGUGAAUGGCGGCCGUAACUAUAACGGUCCUAAGGUAGCGAAAUUCCUUGUCGGGUAAGUUCCGACCCGCACGAAUGGCGUAACGACUUGGUCGCUGUCUCAGCGAGAGACUCGGUGAAAUUGUAGCAUGCGUGAAGAUGCGCAUUCCCCGCCGCAGGACGGAAAGACCCCAUGGAGCUUUACUGCACCCUGUCAUUGCGUAUCGGCUAUGCCUGUAGAGCGUAGGUGGGAGAUUCGUCGACAAUGGAACACCACCCUGUCGUAGCGGAUAUGCUAACUCGCGGAGUUAUCCUUCUCGAGGACCGUGGCAGGCGGGCAGUUUGACUGGGGCGGUCGCCUCCCAAAAGGUAACGGAGGCGCCCAAAGGUUGCCUCAGCCUGGUUGGAUAUCAGGCAUUGCGUGCAAGGGCAGAAGGCAGCUUGACUGUGAGGCCGACGGGCCGAGCAGGGACGAAAGUCGGGCCUAGUGAUCCUCUGGCUUCGCGUGGGCGUGCCAGGGCUCAUCGGAUAAAAGCUACCCUGGGGAUAACAGGCUUAUCUUGCCCAAGCGCUCACAGCGACGGCAAGGUUUGGCACCUCGAUGUCGGCUCGUCGCAUCCUGGGGCUGUAUUAGGUCCCAAGGGUUGGGCUGUUCGCCCAUUAAAGCGGUACGCGAGCUGGGUUCAGAACGUCGUGAGACAGUUCGGUCCCUAUCCGCGGCGGGCGCAGGGAUUUUGAGGGGGGCUGACCCUAGUACGAGAGGACCGGGUUGGACGGACCGCUGGUGUACCAGUUGUGCCGCCAGGCGCAGACGCUGGGUAGCUACGUCCGGGAGCGAUAAGCGCUGAAAGCAUAUAAGCGCGAAGCGCGCCCCAAGAUGAGAAUCCCCACAGCAUAAGCUGGUAAGGUCCCCGGCAGACUACCGGGUUGAUAGGCGGGAGGUGGAAGCGUGGUGACAUGUGGAGCUGACCCGUACUAAGUGACCGAGGGCUUU
rnacentral:rRNA from 1 species